CAGGGGGGUAGCGCACUGCCAACCUGCGGGCGCCGGGGAUGCGCUCGCACGGAUCCACAGGUGCGAGCGCACCUUUGGCGCUCGGGAUGGAGCAAACAGCGGGAAUUCCGCAUUGCCGGCCGGGGAACGGCAGGGAAAUCUCAGCUGGGAGCGCUGCAGUGCCUGUGCAAGGAGCGGGCAGGUUCUUUGGGGUGGAAGGCAUAUAUUAUCACAUUUCUGUAUGAGGCCUGGGGGCUACAACUGGUAGUCCCUCAAAACUGGGCUGGAGAAUUAAGAAGAGAGAAGCUGUGAUACUACACAAAAUCUAAGCUAAGUGCUGCAGCCUGCUCUACACAUCACCACACUCUGGGAACAGAACAGCUUCCAAAGCACUGGAGCCCUACGGACUCGCACCAUCUUUCCCUCCGGAAGAACCUCAACAUCUCUGCGAGACAGGGGCAAGCAGUGCAGUUUGUGAGGCAGAACAGGAACCUGGGAACGACACACUUGGGGCCCAGUGCUCAUUCUGAUGCUGGUUUGGUGUCUGACAUUGCUGCAUCUCAGUGGCCAGUGCCCAGAGCGGGAGUUAAAACACCAGGGUCCCUAAGGCACCAUGUUGCACACAGUCCAGCUCUCCUGUUGCCAGGGUUCCAGCUGCCAGACAGUGGCAAAAGAAGGGUAAUUGAUACCAGUGUGGCAUUUUGGGGUCUUUUUCCUCCCUCUACAGAGGAAGUCUCUGCUUCUUGUCUCAUCUGGCAUGAAGAUACAGAUCUGAAAUUGGCCUGAUUCUGGCCUCUGUUGCUGGUGGCAGUGGGGAUCUUGAACUGCCAGCGUGGACCUUGCCACACUGAGCUGCAUCCAAGUGCUUUGAAGGGACUUCCAGUGGGGAUCUUGAACUGCCGGCGUGGACCUUGCCACACUGAGCUGCAUCCAAGUGCUUUGAAGGGACUUUUGCAGUGGACAACACCAGAAAGGAGGCUAAAAGAACCCCAGCUGUUGAGGGUAGUGCUCCUGGGAGGGGAUAGACUGGCCUCAUAGGAAAUGGAGACAUAAAGGAGACACUGUCCUGCUGCAGGCACUUGCCAGCACCCAGCUGCUGUCCCUCUUCUGCAGAGCUUCAAGAAACUCCUCUAAAUGGUUUUGGCUACACCAAAAAAAAGGUGUUUAAAAUGAAAAAUGUAACAGGAAUGAUAAUGCUAGUCUGAAAAAUGGGAAGGUAAUAAAAAACUCUUAAGUUUUCUUGUCUGCCUCAGGUUUGUGGGGCUGAGGAAUCACAGAAUCAUAGAAUGGCCUUAAAAAUCACCUAGUUCCAAUCUCCUUGCCAUGGGUGGGUAUGAAUGGGGAUGUGGUAGUGGUCCUGCUUGCCUGACCCUGCCCAGCUGAGCUCCCACACCCCAGCUCAGCUCCAGGGGCAGCUGCAGGUGUUUGUACCUCACAGUGCCUCUGUCUCCAGGAAAAAACUCUGCUGGUCAAGGUCUUUCUGCCUUGCUAAAGACUUCAUACCCUGGGGGUUUUAAAGAGUGGUUUGUACCAUAGAGGAAAUCCCACAAGUGAGACCUCCUUGCAAAGCCUGGACCCUGUGC
rnacentral:lncRNA from 12 species